ensembl:rRNA Gm24777 predicted gene, 24777
AUCUAGGGCUGUACCACUCUGAGUAUACCUGGUCUUGUCUGAUCACAGAAGCUAAGUAAAGUCAGGCCUUGGUUUGUACUUGGAAGGAAGAUAAAUUACUUUUUUUUU